UCUACACAUUCGUUAGCGUGAAAAUCAGUUUCAAGAAGAAACAAAAUCAAAAUCCCGAAAACAAUCUUCUCCCCUUUCUCAAAACACACAUCUAGGGUUUCGAAAUCAAACCCGAACCAUAACCAUGGCGUCGAACGACGACGCAGAGAUGAUCAAGAAAACUCAAAACGAGCGUAAGAAGAUCGAACACCAACUCGCAUCUCUCAAUUCACUCACCUUCGACAAAGAUCUCUACGGCGCAAACGAUAAAGAUUCAUACAACACUUCAAUUCCCGCUAACGAAGACGAAGAAAUUCUUGAACCUAUUGGUAAUAAUGUAGCUUCUCGUAGAAUAGCCUCAAUCACCGGCCCUAAAUCUCGCUUCAUAGACAUGCCGUCCGCCGACACUGAUAAUGACGGCGUCGACGCAGUUAUAGGGUUUCGGAAGCCGCGGAGCAUUGCUGAUCGGGAAGAUGAGUACAAGAAACAGAGGUUGAAUCAGCUUCUUUCGCCGGAUAGACAUGAUGCUUUUGCGGCGGGAGAGAAGACGCCGGAUCCGUCUAAGAGGACUUAUGCUGAUAUUAUGAGAGAGGGAGCGUUGAAGAGGGAGAAGGAGGAGACAUUGAGGGUGAUUUCGAAGAAGAAGAAGGAAGAGGAAGAAGCUGGGAAAGGUGGUUCUGGUCCUGGUCCGGAGAAGUCUCAUGAACAGCAACAGAAGAGGAGGAAUAGGUGGGACCAAUCUCAGGAUGAAGGUGGUGGUAAGAAAGCUAGAACUUCUGAUUGGGAUGCUCCGGAUUCGAUGACACCGGGACGGUGGGAUGUGACUCCGACUCCCGGGAGAGUUAUUGAUGCGACUCCGGGGAGGAGGAAUAGGUGGGAUGAGACUCCGACUCCGGGGAGGUUGGUGGAUUCUGAUGCUACUCCUGGUGGUGGUGCUACACCUGGUGCAACUGCUUGGGAUGCUACUCCUAAGCUUUCUGGGAUGGCGACUCCGACUCCUAAGAGACAAAAAUCGAGAUGGGAUGAAACGCCUGCUAGUGCUACUAUGGAAAGUGCGACUCCGUUACCUGGUGCCAUUCCUGCUGGUGCUUAUACACCUGGUGUGACUCCUGUUGGUGGUUUUGAGUUGGCUACUCCUACUCCUGGUGCUUUACAAGGUUCGUUUACGCCGGAGCAGUAUAAUUUGUUGAGGUGGGAGAGGGAUAUUGAAGAGAGGAAUCGUCCCUUGACUGAUGAGGAGCUUGAUGCUAUGUUUCCACAAGAAGGGUAUAAGGUUUUGGAUCCUCCAGCGUCUUAUGUGCCUAUUAGAACGCCUGCAAGGAAGCUUCUUGCGACUCCUACUCCGAUGGGGACUCCGCUUUAUCAAAUUCCUGAAGAGAAUCGCGGUCAGCAGUUUGAUGUUCCCAAGGAAGCUCCUGGUGGUUUGCCUUUCAUGAAACUGGAAGAUUAUCAGUAUUUUGGGGCUUUGUUGAAUGAAGAAAAUGAAGAGGAAUUGUCUCCAGAUGAGCAGAAAGAAAGGAAGAUUAUGAAGCUUCUGCUUAAAGUGAAGAACGGUUCGCCACCACAGAGGAAAACUGCUUUGAGACAGUUAACUGAUAAGGCUCGUGAGUUUGGUGCUGGACCUUUGUUUAACCGAAUUCUGCCGUUGCUUAUGCAGCCUACUCUGGAGGACCAGGAGAGACAUCUUUUGGUUAAGGUAAUUGAUAGAGUUCUUUAUAAGUUGGAUGAAUUGGUUCGCCCCUAUGUGCAUAAGGUUCUUGUUGUUAUUGAGCCCCUUUUGAUUGACGAAGACUACUAUGCCCGUGUUGAGGGGAGGGAAAUAAUAUCUAAUCUUAGUAAAGCUGCUGGACUGGCCACUAUGAUUGCUGCCAUGAGGCCCGACAUAGAUAACAUUGAUGAAUAUGUUAGGAACACUACUGCUAGGGCUUUUAGUGUUGUUGCAUCUGCUCUUGGUAUUCCUGCAUUGUUGCCCUUCUUGAAAGCUGUUUGUCAGAGUAAGAAAUCUUGGCAAGCUCGGCACACUGGGAUUAAGAUUGUGCAGCAGAUUGCCAUUUUAAUUGGUUGUGCUGUGUUGCCCCAUUUGAGAUCUCUUGUGGGGAUUAUAGAGCAUGGUCUGAGUGAUGAGAAUCAGAAGGUGAGGACAAUCACUGCAUUGUCUCUCGCUGCUCUUGCAGAGGCAUCUGCUCCUUAUGGUAUUGAAAGUUUUGACUCGGUGUUGAAGCCAUUGUGGAAGGGUAUUAGGCAACACCGUGGUAAGGUGCUGGCUGCAUUUUUGAAAGCAAUUGGGUUUAUCAUUCCGUUGAUGGAAGCCUUAUAUGCCAGCUAUUAUACUAAGGAAGUCAUGCUUAUUCUGAUUCGGGAGUUCCAGUCACCUGAUGAAGAAAUGAAGAAAAUUGUUCUGAAAGUGGUGAAGCAGUGUGUGAGCACUGAGGGUGUGGAAGCUGAGUAUAUUAGAACAGAUAUCCUCCCUGAGUUUUUCAGAAAUUUCUGGGUUAGGAGGAUGGCUUUGGAUAGAAGAAACUACAAGCAACUUGUGGAGACGACGGUUGAGAUAGCCAACAAGGUCGGUGUUGCAGAUAUUGUUGGAAGAGUUGUUGAAGAUCUUAAAGAUGAAAGUGAACCUUACAGGCGAAUGGUCAUGGAAACUAUUGAGAAGGUGGUCACUAACUUGGGAUCAUCUGAUAUAGAAGCACGGUUGGAAGAGCUUUUGAUUGACGGUAUUCUCUACGCCUUCCAAGAGCAGACCAGUGAUGAUGCUAAUGUGAUGCUUAAUGGGUUCGGCGCGGUUGUGAACUCGCUUGGGCUGAGAGUAAAACCAUACCUUCCUCAGAUUUGUGGUACCAUCAAGUGGAGGUUAAACAAUAAGAGUGCAAAGGUGAGGCAGCAAGCAGCAGAUCUCAUUUCCAGGAUUGCUGUUGUCAUGAAGCAGUGCCACGAGGAACAAUUGAUGGGUCAUCUUGGUGUUGUCUUGUAUGAGUAUCUUGGAGAAGAGUAUCCGGAAGUUCUAGGUUCAAUUUUGGGUGCUCUCAAGUCGAUUGUUAAUGUUAUUGGUAUGACAAAAAUGACUCCACCUAUUAAAGAUUUGCUUCCCAGGUUGACUCCAAUUUUGAAGAACAGGCAUGAAAAAGUCCAGGAGAACUGUAUUGACCUUGUCGGUAGGAUUGCUGAUCGUGGGGCUGAGUUUGUACCAGCCAGGGAAUGGAUGAGGAUCUGUUUUGAGCUUCUUGAGAUGCUGAAGGCACACAAGAAGGGAAUUCGUAGAGCUACAGUGAACACUUUUGGAUAUAUUGCGAAAGCCAUCGGACCACAGGAUGUCUUGGCAACUCUAUUGAAUAAUCUCAAGGUGCAGGAGAGGCAGAAUCGUGUAUGCACUACAGUGGCCAUUGCCAUAGUUGCAGAAACAUGUUCACCCUUCACAGUUUUGCCAGCAUUGAUGAACGAGUACCGUGUGCCAGAGCUUAAUGUGCAAAAUGGAGUUCUCAAGUCUCUCUCCUUCCUCUUUGAGUAUAUUGGUGAAAUGGGAAAGGACUACAUCUAUGCUGUGACUCCUUUGCUCGAGGAUGCUCUUAUGGACAGGGAUUUGGUUCAUAGGCAGACAGCUGCAUCUGCCGUUAAGCACAUGGCACUGGGAGUGGCUGGUUUGGGUUGUGAGGACGCGCUGGUCCAUUUGCUGAACUAUGUCUGGCCAAACAUAUUUGAAACUUCUCCACAUGUGAUAAAUGCUGUGACGGAAGCCAUUGAAGGGAUGAGGGUCGCCUUAGGUGCUGCUGUUGUUCUUAAUUACUGUCUACAAGGGCUGUUCCACCCUGCCCGAAAAGUUAGAGAGGUGUAUUGGAAGAUCUAUAACUCGCAAUAUAUUGGAGCUCAGGAUGCUCUUGUUGCAGCAUACCCUUCUCUAGAAGACGAGCACAACAAUGUUUACAAAAGAUCGGAGUUGACGAUGUUUAUUUAGAUUGCAAUUUACACAUGUGAACUUUUGUUAGACGUUUUAAGGUAUUUGGUAAUGUCCUUAACAUCAUGGUUGAUUUUGGAUUUUAUAGCUUUACUAUUUCUCAUAGAUAUGUUGUUUUUGGAUUGUGCUAUCUAUUAUGAUUGAUUAAAUGCAAUUAUAUAAAUUUUUCUAACUACGUGUUUUGAUUUGUGCAGUUGAUUAUAGAAGGGUUGAUGGAGAAAAAUUUAGUUGGACUCUGCAGUUAUAUUAUUUCUGAUAUGAAUAUUUUCAGAAUUUUGUUUUUCUCCUGUGUUCAAUUGACGAUGAAAGCUGUAGAAAUUACUCGGCUUCGUAGUUUAUAUUUCACCAUUGAGAAGAAUAUCGAUACAUUGUUUAUAUUUUUUGUAUCACAUUCUCACAGAAAAACAUAUUAGACACUUAAUAUUUUUGUAAAUACUUAUCAUAUUAUAAUAAUACAAAUUUUAGUUUGGCUACUUUUCUUGUAUUAGAUUUGUAUUGGUGUAUCAUUAAGUAGAAGUUGGCCUCUGUCUUUUAGGGCUAGAAUUCACUCUUAGAAAAUAUCAAAAGAACACAAGCGAGCUCAGACGAAACAUGUGUGAGGUCAAGCGGCAAGACCGACACGAACUCGCUGCAUAUGCGUAUUCAAUUGAGUCUUAUUGGUAGAGUGACGUGUUAAGAUAUUAAUAAAUAUGACAAUUAAAUAUGAC